GAGAUCAACAAGGUCAUGAGCAGAUAUACUAAAUACAGUAGCAAUAAACUGAAAGGAAGCAGAAAUAAUAACAGAAUAUAUAACUACCGCUACUGUAACAUACCAGAUUUUGGUAUAAAAAUAAAAAUAAAUAAAAAUAGUGUGAAAUACUAUUUUUAUUGGAUUUAGAGAAAUAAAAUAUAAGUCAAAAAUGACUUGUGCUGAAAUCGGAACGAAAAUAGAAGAUUUAGAAUUUUCUGUUGGAAACGGGGUUGAUAUUUUAGCAGAAAAUGCACAGUAUCAGAAAAUUACGAAAACUAGAGAAUAUGUCAAAAUUAUUUUUAUGAGGUUAGAUUUAAAGUUUCAUGUCAUUUCUGAUAUCCGGAAGGUGAAAAAUAAAAUCCGACUGCUAUGUGCUAGAGAUUACAGUUCGGUAGAGCUUUCGGUGACCAAACGUGGUCAAAACUGAAAACUUAAGAUAUAUUCUUUCUU
rnacentral:lncRNA from 1 species